UGUUUUUACUCUCUUUCUCUCUAGAACCUCUCUCUAGCCCCAAAACCCCCCGAAAAGCCUAGGGAACCUCCCUAGCACGAGGUGGAAGCCCUGGAGUGCUCGAUGGCUCCGAGAAGAAGAGAUUUUCGGCUCGGGAACGCUGCUCCUAGCAAAGCCCGAUUUUUUUUUUAUAAAACCCGCUGUUUCGUCGAAGGAAAUUAUUUUUAAGAAGCGAAGUGUUGUCUGAGUUCGGCAUCACCACCUUUUCAAACUAUUUUAGACAGUACAGUGGAACGCUAGCGGGCUUGCAACCUGUAGGUGUUUAUUUGAACUGUGUGCUCACCAACAGUACUUCAUCCCCCACAUGGUUGCCUUAUUUGACAUGAAUUGCUGAGGAACCCCCGAAGCAUGUGUUGUCACCCCGAUGAAAGUCUCUUAGACUAGGUCCCUUGUGUUAGAUGUUUUAGGGAUGUAAAGUGAGGAUAACGGGAACAUGUAAUCGGGUUUGUUUGAUAGGGUUAAUAAACUUAUUUAUUGUGGGUUGAAAACCCUAUGUAUUUCUCAACCUGACCCACUCAGUUUAUUUAUAUCACAUGUGUUGAUAUGAAGUCACAUUACACUGAGAUAUUAAGGGGAUAUAAAUCACUAGUGAUAAUGAAUGUAAGUUCUGUUUAUGCUUA